GAUGAACGCUGGCGGCGUGCCUAAUACAUGCAAGUCGAGCGAACAGACGAGGAGCUUGCUCCUCUGACGUUAGCGGCGGACGGGUGAGUAACACGUGGAUAACCUACCUAUAAGACUGGGAUAACUUCGGGAAACCGGAGCUAAUACCGGAUAACAUGUUGAACCGCAUGGUUCACCGGUAAAAUACGGCUUUCCGGCCUCUAUUAGAGGGUUCCGGGCCGCAUUAGCUAGUUGGUAAGGUAACGGCUUACCAAGGCAACGAUGCGUAGCCGACCUGAGAGGGUGAUCGGCCACACUGGAACUGAGACACGGUCCAGACUCCUACGGGAGGCAGCAGUAGGGAAUCUUCCGCAAUGGGCGAAAGCCUGACGGAGCAACGCCGCGUGAGUGAAGAAGGUCUUCGGAUCGUAAAACUCUGUUAUUAGGGAAGAACAAAUGUGUAAGUAACUAUGCACGUCUUGACGGUACCUAAUCAGAAAGCCACGGCUAACUACGUG
rnacentral:rRNA from 1 species